UUGUUUUUCAUCAAAGAUGGCAUUGUCCUUCCAUGUGUAUUCCUCUUUAUCAGUGGAGUUUUCCUGAGCUUAAACCAGGCCCUAUCAGAGGAUAUGAUGCUGUCUGUAAUACGGCCAAAAUUCUACACAAUCGCUGGACAGCUACAGGCCUUCCUGACGCGGUUGAUUGCAGGCGUAGGUGCUCCAUUUAUUAUUGAAUAUAUAUCUGUUAAGAUCCAGGAGUCGAAUUCUGAGAAGACUUCCUUUGAAUGCAUGCAAUUUGCCCUAA